rnacentral:rRNA from 1 species
UACGUAGGGUGCGAGCGUUGUCCGGAAUUAUUGGGCGUAAAGAGCGUGUAGGCGGCCAGGUAGGUCUGCUGUGAAAACUCGAGGCUCAACCUCGAGACGUCGGCGGAAACCAUCUGGCUAGAGUCCGGAAGAGGAGAGUGGAAUUCCUGGUGUAGCGGUGAAAUGCGCAGAUAUCAGGAGGAACACCGGUGGCGAAGGCGGUUCUCUGGGACGGUACUGACGCUGAGACGCGAAAGCGUGGGGAGCGAACAGG